AUGCCAGCGGCCGCGGGUCGUGCAUCACGGCAAUUGCGGUGGCGUGCUGCCACCGGUGAGAAGCCACCCGCGAUGCUCGCCGAGUACACGCUAGGUAAGGGCGGCAGCCCUGACUUCUAUGACAUCUCCCUCGUCGACGGAUUCAACGUGCCCAUGAGCUUUGGGCCGGUCGGCAGCAGCUGUCACGUGAUAAGUUGUGCCGCGGACAUCAACGCAAAGUGCCCGUCGGAGCUGAAGGUCGACGGAGGCUGUAACAACUUUUGGAAAGCCGUAGACAUCACCAGGGAAUGCCUGCCAGAGCUGCAGGUGCCCGGAGGGUGCGCGAGCGCGUGCGGCAAGUUCGGCGGCGACACGUACUGCUGCCGGGGCCAGUUCGAGCACAACUGCCCGCCGACGAACUACUCGAGGUUCUUCAAGGGCAAGUGCCCCGACGCCUACAGCUACGCCAAAGACGACCAGACCAGCACAUUCACCUGCCCCGCCGGAACCAACUACCAGAUCGUCCUCUGCCCCGCCCGAAAUGAUUUGCACAUGGAUCAGUAA
rnacentral:rRNA from 1 species